rnacentral:rRNA from 1 species
AUUGAACGCUGGCGGAAUGCUUUACACAUGCAAGUCGAACGGCAGCACGGACUUCGGUCUGGUGGCGAGUGGCGAACGGGUGAGUAAUGUAUCGGAACGUGCCCAGUCGUGGGGAUAACGUAGUGAAACUUACGCUAAUACCGCAUACGAUCUAUGGAUGAAAGCGGGGGAUCGCAAGACCUCGCGCGAUUGGAGCGGCCGAUAUCAGAUUAGGUAGUUGGUGGGGUAAAGGCCCACCAAGCCAACGAUCGGUAGCUGGUCUGAGAGGACGCCCAGCCACACUGGAACUGAGACACGGUCCAGACUCCUACGGGAGGCAGCAGUGGGGAAUUUUGGACAAUGGGCGAAAGCCUGAUCCAGCCAUUCCGCGUGCAGGAUGAAGGCCCUCGGGUUGUAAACUGCUUUUGUACAGAACGAAAAGGUUUCUACUAAUACUAGGAGCUCAUGACGGUACUGUAAGAAUAAGCACCGGCUAACUACGUGCCAGCCGCCGCGGUAA